CCUAUACUGGGGGAUAGCCCGAUGAAAGUUGGAUUAAUACCGCAUAUAGCUAUAUAGUUGCAUGAUUAUGUAGUGAAAGAUUUAUUGGUAUAGGAGGAGUCUGCGGCACAUUAGCUAGUAGGUGAGGUAAAGGCUUACCUAGGCGACGAUGUGUAGCCGGUCUGAGAGGAUGAACGGCCACAAUGGAACUGAGACACGGUCCAUACUCCUACGGGAGGCAGCAGUGGGGAAUAUUGCACAAUGGGGGAAACCCUGAUGCAGCAACGCCGCGUGAGUGAAGAAGGUUUUCGGAUUGUAAAGCUCUGUUAGCAGGGAAGAGGAAGGACGGUACCUGCAGAGGAAGCCACGGCUAACUACGUGCCAGCAGCCGCGGUAAUACGUAGGUGGCAAGCGUUGUUCGGAAUAACUGGGCGUAAAGGAUGCGUAGGCGGUUAAACAAGUUAUAUGUUAAAUAUAUAGGCUUAACCUGUAGAAAGCAUAUAAAACUGUUUAACUAGAGUGCAGGAGAGGUAAGUGGAAUUCCUAGUGUAGCGGUGAAAUGCGUAGAGAUUAGGAAGAACACCAGUGGCGAAGGCGACUUACUGGACUGUAACUGACGCU
rnacentral:rRNA from 1 species